UAAUCUGACGUGAUCACCUCAAGCCCAGCCCCAGCCAUCAACGUCUCUCCUCUCUUGUCUCUUUCUCGUCACUCUCUCCCUCAAGCUUAAGCUCAAGCCUGUCACAGUCUUACCUCUCGUCUCCGGUCUCUCACUUCUCUCUCGGUCUCGCACUCAGUCGCCGCCUUCCCUGCGCUCGCUUCGCACUCAAGCACUCGGGUGGUGGUGGUCGUCGUCUUCUUGCUUCGCCGUCAGUUCGGUCGAUCAGCUUCCUUCACCGUCGGUCCCUGUGCAGGUUUUUGCUGAAAAUGAAUUCGCUGGGUGUUAGACUUGCGAAGCAUCUUCGUAUCUCUUCUCUGAGCUCCUCUUCCCAUGCAGUUGGAAUGACGAGGACGGGAACACAGUGGUACUCAACAUUGUUAACUGAAAGUGACAAUGAUGAGGGCUUAAAUGAUAGGGUUAAUGAUGAUCGAAAGAACGAAGAACUGGAUGAUGAAUUUGAUGAUUUUCUUGGUAGCAAGCCCGAUCUUGAACUGCAGGGUGUGGAUCCAAAGAGGGGUUGGGGAUUUCGGGGAGUGCACAAGGCAAUAAUAUGUGGAAAAGUUGGCCAAGUCCCUGUACAAAAGAUAUUGAGGAAUGGGAAGAAUGUAACGAUCUUUACGGUUGGGACUGGGGGAAUGUCUGACCAGAGAAUCACGAGAGAAGUGGAUAUGCCAAGACCUGCUCAAUGGCAUCGCAUUGCUGUGCAUAAUCACAUCCUUGGGGCCUAUGCAGUACAACAACUUUUUAAAAACUCUUCAGUUUAUGUUGAGGGUGACAUUGAGACUAGAGUUUAUAAUGAUAGCAUCAAUGGUGAAGUCAAAAGCAUUCCUGAGAUAUGUGUACGUCGUGAUGAUAAGAAAGACUGAAAGCUAGGUCCCCAUAGGGUGCACUGGCUCUUCCUGGCGUUCAGAAAGUACCUACAGUGCUUAUGUUUAUUAAAGAAAGGAGGGAAAUUUCUCGGGAGAAGGAUGGCUUAUCCAAAAUUUAACCCAACUCAUAUCUUAGAUGAUUUGUUUCAUCAUCAUGAGUGAAAGCUAAUUGCUUAUUUACAGGAAACUUCGUCUCAUAAAGGGAGGAGAGAGCAUUGAUACAAAUUCAUUGGAUGAAUUGCGAGAAGGGUUGUUUUAGCAGAAACCUGGAAAGUGGAAAGAUUUUGGUGAAAAUGUUAUUCAUGGAAUGGAAAGCACGUGCUUUGUAAGAAUCACAUCUCUGUAGUGAGUAGCAGCAUUUUUAAUGAACAAUAUAAAGAAUGCUUUGCCUUGUUCAUUAUUAUUUUAUCUUUCAGCGUUCUGGAUUUCAGUUUCCCAUAUUCUUUUAAUAUAUGGGAAAGUGCAGAAGAACGGUUUUUUCCCCCUAUAACAAAUCAUGUAAACAUGAAUAUGAAUGAUACUAAUCAAGUAACACUUAACGUCUA